rnacentral:rRNA from 1 species
GACGAACACUGGCGGCGUGCUUAACACAUGCAAGUCGAACGGAAAGGCCCUGCUUUUGUGGGGUGCUCGAGUGGCGAACGGGUGAGUAACACGUGAGUAACCUGCCCUUGACUUUGGGAUAACUUCAGGAAACUGGAGCUAAUACCGGAUAGGAGCUCCUGCUGCAUGGUGGGGGUUGGAAAGUUUCGGCGGUUGGGGAUGGACUCGCGGCUUAUCAGCUUGUUGGUGGGGUAGUGGCUUACCAAGGCUUUGACGGGUAGCCGGCCUGAGAGGGUGACCGGCCACAUUGGGACUGAGAUACGGCCCAGACUCCUACGGGAGGCAGCAGUGGGGAAUAUUGCACAAUGGGCGGAAGCCUGAUGCAGCAACGCCGCGUGCGGGAUGACGGCCUUCGGGUUGUAAACCGCUUUCGCCUGUGACGAAGCGUGAGUGACGGUAAUGGGUAAAGAAGCACCGGCUAACUACGUG